rnacentral:rRNA from 1 species
GACGAACGCUGGCGGCGUGCUUAGCACAUGCAAGUCGAACGGAAAGGCCCUGCUUGCAGGGUACUCGAGUGGCGAACGGGUGAGUAACACGUGGGUGAUCUGCCCUGCACUUCGGGAUAAGCCUGGGAAACGGGGUCUAAUACCGGAUAGGAGACAUUUUUAGUGUGAUGGUUGGAAAGUUUUUUCGGUGUAGGGUGAGCGCGCGGGCUAACAGCCUGUUGGUGGGGUAAUGGCCUACCAAGGCGGCGACGGGAAGCCGGCCUGGGGGGGUGGACGGCCACAAUGGGACUGAGAUACGGCCCAGACUCCUACGGGAGGCAGCGGUGGGGAAUAUUGCCCAAGGGGCGCGAGCCUGAUGCAGCGACGCCGCGUGGGGGAUGACGGUCUUCGGGUUGUAAACUCCUUUCGCUAGUGACGAAGCUUUUGUGACGGUACCUAGAGAAGAAGCACCGGCUAACUACGUG